rnacentral:tRNA from 1 species
GCUGUGUAGCUCAGCGGGUUAGGGUGUGUUUGUUAAACACUAGUCUUAGGUUCGAGUCUUGGGUGUGGCG